UACAAUAGACAAUAAAGAUUCUGAAUGUCCAAUUCAUGUAUUUUGCUGGCAAAUCGCGGAAAAUAAAAUAUAAAGUAAACGAAGAAUUUCCUUAGAUUACUCUAUAAGAGGUCAAGGGAGAAGACAAACUAUGCCAUCUUCUGCUUCAUCCAGCUUGAGCGGAGAAGAUGAGUAACCUAAAAAGCAGGUUGUUUUUCCGCCAUUAUGGUACUCUUCCUAGCUGGUCUAACAGAGAUCAGCGAAGGAGAGCUCACAACCUGCACCAGCAAGAAAAGCAAAUGCUUUCUGCAACCAUUAUAUUGCCCUGCAAAAUGCCUAUCAAAAUCUCCAAGUGACCCGAAGGCUAAACCAGGUCCUCUCUUUCAGCAGCGCCCUUACCCAUCUCCUGGAGCAGUCUUGCGUAAAAAUGGUGAAAUUGCUUCUCAAAGGAAAAAUACUAAAUCUAAUCUUACCCCUAUAUCCAAGAGAGGUGAUGGUAGUGAUGGACUGAGUGACGCUGAUUGAAGAAUUUAAGCCAUUGUGUUAUAUUUAUUUGCUUAAAGGAGGAUUCACAGAAAGGGAACUUUUCCCAGUUGAAGUUGCUUCACCACAAGGAGCUAGUCAUACUCACAUUCUAAUCGUAGAGGCUGCAAGAACAGGCAUGAAUGAAUAUUCUUCUCGAAGUUCCUGACAUACUGCUGAAAGAAUUUCAUCCAAAAAUGCAA